rnacentral:rRNA from 1 species
GGCCAGACUCCUACGGGAGGCAGCAGUGGGGGAUAUUGCACAAUGGGGGAAACCCUGAUGCAGCGACACCGCGUGGGUGAAGAAGCGCUUCGGCGUGUAAAGCCCUAUCAGUGGGGAAGAAAAAGGACGGUACCCAAAGAAGAAGCACCGGCUAAAUACGUGCCAGCAGCCGCGGUAAUACGUAGGGGGCAAGCGUUAUCCGGAUUUACUGGGUGUAAAGGGAGCGUAGACGGCAUAGCAAGUCUGAAGUGAAAGCCCAAGGCUCAACCAUGGGACUGCUUUGGAAACUGUUAAGCUAGAGUGCUGGAGAGGUAAGCGGAAUUCCUAGUGUAGCGGUGAAAUGCGUAGAUAUUAGGAAGAACACCAGUGGCGAAGGCGGCUUACUGGACAGUAACUGACGUUGAGGCUCGAAAGCGUGGGGAGCAAACAGGAUUAGAUACCCUCGUA